rnacentral:rRNA from 1 species
UGAACGCUGGCGGCGUGCCUACUACAUGCAAGUCGAGCGACCAGACGAGGAGCUUGCUCCUCUGACGUUAGCGGCGGGCGGGUGAGUAACACGUGGAUAACCUACCUAUAAGACUGGGAUAACUUCGGGAAACCGGAGCUAAUACCGGAUAAUAUAUUGAACCGCAUGGUUCAAUAGUGAAAGACGGUUUUGCUGUCACUUAUAGAUGGAUCCGCGCCGCAUUAGCUAGUUGGUAAGGUAACGGCUUACCAAGGCAACGAUGCGUAGCCGACCUGAGAGGGUGAUCGGCCACACUGGAACUGAGACACGGUCCAGACUCCUACGGGAGGCAGCAGUAGGGAAUCUUCCGCAAUGGGCGAAAGCCUGACGGAGCAACGCCGCGUGAGUGAUGAAGGUCUUCGGAUCGUAAAACUCUGUUAUUAGGGAAGAACAAAUGUGUAAGUAACUAUGCACGUCUUGACGGUACCUAAUCAGAAAGCCACGGCUAACUACGUG